rnacentral:lncRNA from 1 species
CCGCAGGCGCUAAGGUGCUCUCAGUCCGGGGGCCUUCUGGGCAGCGGUGACUGUCACCCCAAGAGAGACCUUUCGGGGGCUCUUGCCGCACCUCUGCUGCGUCGCGGGUGACACUGCGGUGCUCGCGAGCAGGGUGGCAGCUGCCUCUCGGUGGAGACGUCUUGGGACCCUUGCGCCCUUCUUCUCUCCUUCCUUCGCUGCUGUCUCCUUUCCUUCCUUGGCUGCUCGCUCUUUCUCUCGCCGGCUCAGACCCGUAGCCUCCGGAACGGGACUCGUGGGUCGCCGCCGCCUCUGUCUCUUCCAAAGGGGCCUCCUCACUUCGGAGAUGCAGUGACAAGUUAAUAUGGGCGUCCAAGCCUCUGUUUCCCAGGAGGAAAUUUGCAAGAGGCGGCAGCCCCUGAGCGCCCAGAGCUCUUGAAAGGCCACCCAGGAGAGGUGUGAGACCCGGCGGCAGCAUCCGUCCAGAUCUACACAGACUGGGCCAAUCAUUACCUAGCCAAAUCCGGCCACAAGCGUCUCAUCAGGGAUCUCCAGCAAGAUGUGACAGAUGGCGUCCUCCUGGCCCAGAUUA